UACGUAGGCAGCGAGCGUUGUUCGGAAUUACUGGGCGUAAAGAGUGUGUAGGCGGUGCUCUAAGUUCGGUGUGAAAUCUCCUGGCUCAACUGGGAGGGUGCGCCGGAAACUGGAGUGCUUGAGCUGUGGGAGAGGAAAGCGGAAUUCCUGGUGUAGCGGUGAAAUGCGUAGAUAUCAGGAGGAACACCUGUGGUGUAGACGGCUUUCUGGACCAUAGCUGACGCUGAGACACGAAAGCGUGGGUAGCAAACAGG
rnacentral:rRNA from 1 species